GUUGUACUCCCUCCGUUCGGAAAUACUCGUCAUUGAAAUGGAUGUAUCUAGAUGUAUUUUAGUUCUAGAUACAUCCAUUUUGGUGACAAGUAAUUCCGAACGGAGGAAGCAGUAA
rnacentral:pre_miRNA from 1 species